rnacentral:rRNA from 1 species
GUGCCAGCCGCUGCGGUGAUACGUAGGGUGCGAGCGUUGUCCGGAAUUAUUGGGCGUAAAGAGCUUGUAGGCGGCUUGUCACGUCGGAAGUGAAAACUCAGGGCUUAACCCUGAGCCUGCUUCCGAUACGGGCUCGCUAGAGGAAGGUAGGGGAGAACGGAAUUCCUGGUGGAGCGGUGGAAUGCGCAGAUAUCAGGAGGAACACCGGUGGCGAAGGCGGUUCUCUGGACCUUUCCUGACGCUGAGAAGCGAAAGCGUGGGAGCAAACAGGCUUAGAUACCC